CCUACGGGAGACAGCAGUAGGGAAUAUUGCUCAAUGGGGGAAACCCUGAUGCAGCAACGCCGCGUGUAGGAUGAAGGUUUUCGGAUUGUAAACUCCUUUUGUUAGGGAGGAUAAUGACGUUAUCUAUCACAUAAGCACCGGCUAACACCGUGCCAGCAGCCGCGGUAAUACGGAGGGUGCAAGCGUUAAUCGGAAUCACUGGGCGAAAAGAUCGCGUAGGCGGGCUAGCAAGUCAGAUGUGAAAUCCGCUGGCUUAACCAUAGAACUGCAUUUGAAACUGGUAUUCUAGAGUAUCGGAGAGGGAGGUGGAAUUCUUGGUGUAGGGGUAAAAUCCGUAGAGAUCAAGAGGAAUACUCAUUGCGAAGGCGACCUGCUAGACCAUGACUGACGCUGAUGUGCGAAAGCGUGGGGAGCAAACAGGAUUAGAUACCCGGGUAGUC
rnacentral:rRNA from 1 species